rnacentral:tRNA from 1 species
GACUCCGUGGCGCAACGGUAUAGCGCGUCUGACUCCAGAUCAUAAAGUUGCGUGUUCGAAUCACGUCGGGGUCA